rnacentral:rRNA from 1 species
GAUCAUGGCUCUGGACGAACGCUGGCGGCGCGCCUAACACAUGCAAGUCGAACGAGCGAGAGAGAGCUUGCUUUCUCGAGCGAGUGGCGAACGGGUGAGUAACGCGUGAGGAACCUGCCUCAAAGAGGGGGACAACAGUUGGAAACGACUGCUAAUACCGCAUAAGCCCACGACCCGGCAUCGGGAAGGGGGAAAAGGAGCAAUCCGCUUUGAGAUGGCCUCGCGUCCGAUUAGCUAGUUGG